UUGAACGCUGGCGGCAUGCCUUACACAUGCAAGUCGAACGGUAGAGGGGCAACCCUUGAGAGUGGCGAACGGGUGAGUAAUGCAUCGGAACGUGCCCAGUCGUGGGGGAUAACGCAGCGAAAGCUGUGCUAAUACCGCAUGUGAUCUGUGAAUGAAAGCAGGGGACCGCAAGGCCUUGUGCGAUUGGAGCGGCCGAUGUCAGAUUAGCUAGUUGGUAGGGUAAAAGCCUACCAAGGCGACGAUCUGUAGCUG
rnacentral:rRNA from 1 species